rnacentral:lncRNA from 1 species
AUCCUUUUUUGAUCCUUUUUUUUUUUUAAGAUUUAUUUAUUUAUUUAUUUAUUUAUUUAUUUAUUUAUUUAUUAUAGACAUAGAGAGAGAGAGAGAGGCAGAGACACAGGAGGAGGGAGAAGCAGGCUCCAUGCCGGGAGCCCGACGUGGGACUCGAUCCCAGAACUCCAGGAUUGUGCCCUGGGCCAAAGGCAGGCGCUAAACCGCUGAGCCACCCAGGGAUAUCUGUGACACUUGAUCCUGAUCCUGAAGACUUGGUAAGAACUCAACUAGGAGCUCAACUAGGGGAAGAGGCUAAUGGCAUACUAGACUAGAUUAUGUUGAAGAAUGGACAACUCAAAGAACUUGGUAUGUUUGGGACUUUGGAAUCUCCAUAAUGGAAGGUACCCAUGAGUGAGGGCUGGAGAGAAGUGAGGAGGGGUUUGGACCAGAGCUUGAAAUGUCUUCAAUACCGUGCUGGAUUUCUUCUGUUUGUCUCUCCAGGUAGCUCUUUACCCUUGUCCACCAUGUUCUUGGAAGGUCAUUAGUGGGUCUUUUUGCCCUUCAUCUUCUUAUUGGAUUCCCCCAGCACAGAACUCUGGCAGGAAACUGAAAGAAGGGAGAAGAGUGAGGUCAAAGCAUUUGCUUUGUUGGCUCCUUCCACAAGAAGUCAUCUGGGAUUGGCUGCUUCCCCCAGCUGAGGGUCAUUGGGACUCUAAACCUGGCCAAGUCAACUUGUCCUUUAAGGAUCAGGUGUGUUAUGGGAUGUAUGAUUCUGGAAAGCUGGCCUGGAGCGAGAUUGAUGUGGACCUUGGAUUCUCUGCCAGGGGUUUUGAACUUUUUGCUGCUGAGAAGAGGAGCCAUUAAAGUGAGGAAUGUUUGGGCGUCAGCAGUAUAACUUCUGACUGAACGGGAGAGCCAAGAGUUUGGGGCUGAGGCAGCGCUGAAUUCAAUAAAUAUUUGGAGGCUGGGUCACAGAACUUAGCGACCAUUGUAGCUGGAGGGUGACAGAGAACGUUGUCCCGAAUUCUGCAGCACCCUGAACACAGUUCUGCUUCCCUAGGAGUCUUCCCUUCUCCAGCACUCCAUUGGUUUACCACAUACCGCAUGCUUUCUGGAAACUUUAACAUCCUCGUCACCUCUUCAAACACAGAGGUUUGCUGGGGCCCCUCUUAAAUGUGGUCCCCUGAGUCAAACACAUACACCCAAAGAUAGCCCACCAGGGGAGAAUAUAGUACCUUUUUAAGCAAACAGGAUUCUUCCCUUGUUAAUUCCACAUUCUGUCCUCACCUCCCCUCAUGCUUGGGAGAGCACCCCUCCCCUCGCUAAGUCUCUGUCUGUUCAUCAACAUGAUCUAUUAAAUAGGGCACAUCACCACUUAAGGGAAAAGUGGAUAAAAAUAAUUUUUCAACAUUCACUUGUUCAUUCUGUAAGAUUUUCUAUAUUUAUAAGCAUUUCUGGUAAAUAUAAGCAUUGCAAUAAAUACCUACUAUGUGCUAGGCACCCCCAUUGGGCCCAUGGGAUAUCGUGAUGGAAAAAUAUCAGAAUUUGCCUUUAAUGAGUUCGGUCUAAAUAUCAAAAAAAGAUGUCUAAAGCAAGUUUUCUACUAACAAGUAGCUUACAGUCUCAAAGGCAAGAAACGACAGUCAUCCAUACUUUCAUUCAUGUUGUACUAAUAGGUGGCGUGCAGUGGAUGCUUCUUCUGGGCAGGUGUCCUUCCAGGGGUUGACAUGAAUUAGCUCACUUAGUUCUCAUAAAACACUAGGAGGCAGGUAGAUAUGCUUACUCACCUUCCUAUUUUAUAGAGGAGGAAACUGAAGCAUGGCCAUUCGAAGUCACCCAACUAAGUGGACUCAGAAGGCAAACAUAAGAAUUUUGCUUUCCAACUCUGCAUCCUUUACCAGUAGCUUGCAUAAUCUCUUGCAAAUAAGGCUAAAAGAGAAAAAUGCCAUGAAAGAGAAAGAGUAGACUUUUCCUGUGCCUGGAAAGAGCAGUCCGUUUUGAUCCCCUUGUAAAUGAUUCAUCCCUGGUGUGGGCUUCUUGUGGGCUAGUUUCUGCGUGUGGGUGAGGAGGGCAUCACUGCUUUCCCUUAUGCAUCUAUCUGCUGCCACCUGUAUUUACAGCGGGAGAGCUCACACCCCACUGAACGGUGGUGUUAAAGUGAUAAUGUUUUAUGCUUUGGCUUUCAGCAGGUGACAAUAAAAAAAAUCAAUGGUUUAUAAUUACAGGUCCUUGAAGUUUAGUGUUGCCGCAGACUGUAAUGAAAAUUCAUUUGUAGUAUGACAACCACAGAUUAGCAAUUUCUCUCUCCCCAAAUAGCAGGGUGGUUUCUUAUGUUGCUGGUUUGCUACCUCUUACAGAAGGGAUUGGAUCAUGUGCCAGGUUGUCCCAAUGAAUAAUUGCCUGGUUUUAUUAUAUGGGAUAAAUCAAUCACAUAGACUUUGUGCGUUGGCUUAAUGAGGUUAGAUCAGCAAGCACCGAGCUUGGGAAACAGUUGUUGUCAAGAGCCUCUGAGCACUAACAGACGGCCCUGGAAGGGCUGAAUUUGGGGUGAAUACUCAACAGUUGGCCUGAAGGUGCAUGGUACGAAUCUGAGGUUUUGUUUGGGAGUUGCCUUUUAAGAGGGCAGGGGUUCUAAAAUACAUCGAACCUGCAGAAAGCAUUUGUACAUUAGUAGAUCAGUAACUAAAAAAGCAAAACAAAAUAAAAACAAAAAUAAAUUUAAAAAACAGCCUCUGCCCCCAUGCACCCCUAACUGGUAGCUCUUGUCACUUCCUCACACAGUGAUGGCUUUAUUUGGGGAGCGGGGAUAGAAGGAGAAUGGAUUAUAAAACACCACAAUGGCUUUCCAGGGGGAAGCAUGUUGCUUCUCUCCGGCUAACACGGGUUGGGGAGGGGGUGGUGUAAGGAGUUGGUCAGUAACCCUUUGGAUUUCCAAGCUCCCAGAUGUUGCAAGAGCCCAGAUGCUUGCAUUGUUUGAGCUAGGGUCAUGAGGGUGGAAAGGCGUUGCAAUUUCCUUCUGCCCUUUGUACACCGGCUGAUCUCUAGGUGAGAUUCCUCUGAACACCUCUUGGGUAUUUGCCAACAGGGACAAAUUGAAGAUCAUUAAGAACUUCUUCUCCCUCCGAUGAGUCCUUCUGCCUCAAUGUGCCAUGAGGCUAUCAUAUUUGCCUCCCUCUGUGUGCACAGUUGACGAGCAUAUCACACAGUAGAGGCUAAAGUGGCCACAAGAGGCUGCGUUGAGGUUGCUGGAGAAGAGAGAAGCACACGGCCAGAGAGAAGGUUCAUGGGAUGUCCACUAUUUAGAUGCCUGACUUCAGAGUUAGCCAUGUCUUGGCUCUUGGCAAUUCCUAAGGAAAUUCUGGAUGACGACCCUUGGAAGACUUUCUGGCCCAGGUAAUGCAUUUCAUGUUCUCCUUCAUGUUUCUUCUUUGCCCUUCUCAUGAGUAGACUUAGAUUUAUACACACACACACAAAAGUUUCAGUUCUCAGCUCAGAAGAUAGAAAUUUCUUGACGUCUGAGCAGAAGGGGGAUCACUGAGACUCAAGAAAGCACUUCAUGACCGGGGUCAUGAUGGUGUAUCGAUCAGCGCUGGCUGUUUUCUAUCAGUCAGGGUGGCAUGGGUGGUAACAAACAGCCCCCAGAUAUUUUUUUAACCCUUUUGUGUAAAAUAAAACACAGAUAAUGCAACCCCCGAGAAACAGUAUUUAUCGCCUUAUUAUAAGGCUAACACCCUUGUAACAGGUACUCAAGUUUGGAAACGGAGCUCAGAUGCCCUGUCCCUUGGCUCCCUCCCAAACUAACCAUCUUCUUCACCUUUCUGUAAAAAGCCCCAAAUCGUAAUGGGUGAAAACAA